rnacentral:piRNA from 1 species
UAGAGCUGAAUCGCUGAGUGUGUCUGCAGAAA